rnacentral:rRNA from 1 species
AUUGAACGCUGGCGGCAGGCUUAACACAUGCAAGUCGAACGAGUGGCGGACGGGUGAGUAAUGCUUGGGAAUCUAGCUUUUGGAGGGGGAUACCUACGGGAAACUGUAGCUAUUACCGCGUACCAUAGGAUGAGCCCAAGUGUGAUUAGGUAGUUGUUGAGGUAAAGGCUCACCAAGCCGACGAUCGCUAGCUGGUCUGGGAGGAUGACCGGCCACACUGGGACUGAGACACGGCCCAGACUCCUACGGGAGGCAGCAGUGGGGAAGAUUGCGCAAUGGGGGCAGCCUGACGCACCCAUGCCGGGGGAAUGAUGAAGGCCUUCGGGUGGUAAAGUGCUUUCGGUAGCGAGGCGUUAACUACAGAGGAAGCGCCGGCUAACUCCGUGCCAGCAGCCGCGGUAAUUC